rnacentral:rRNA from 1 species
GAUGAACGCUAGCUACAGGCUUAACACAUGCAAGUCGAGGGGAAACGAUAGAGAAAGCUUGCUUUUUCUAGGCGUCGACCGGCGCACGGGUGAGUAACGCGUAUCCAACCUGCCCAUCACUUGGGGAUAACCUUGCGAAAGUAAGACUAAUACCCAAUGAUAUCUCUAGAAGACAUCUGAAGGAGAUUAAAGAAUUAUCGGUGAUGGAUGGGAUGCGUCUGAUUAGCUUGUUGGCGGGGUAACGGCACACCAAGGCGACGAUCAGUAGGGGUUCUGAGAGGAAGGUCCCCCACAUUGGGCCUGAGACACGGUCCAAACUCCUACGGGAGGCAACAGUGAGGAAUAUUGGUCAAUGGACGAGAGUCUGAACCAGCCAAGUAGCGUGCAGGAUGACGGCCCUAUGGGUUGUAAACUGCUUUUAUAAGGGAAUAAAGUGAGUCUCGUGAGACUUUUUGCAUGUACCUUAUGAAUAAGGACCGGCUAAUUCCGUGCCAGCCGCCGCCGUAA